rnacentral:rRNA from 1 species
GAUCAUGGCUCAGGAUGAACGCUAGCUACAGGCUUAACACACGCAAGUCGAGGGGCGAGCGGGAGUUGAAGCUUGCUUCAAUUGCCGGCGACCGGCGCACGGGUGAGUAACGCGUAUCCAACCUUCCGCAUACUCGGGGAUAGCCUUCUGAAAAGGAGAUUAAUACCCGAUGGUAUCAAGAGAUUGCAUGAUAACUUGAUUAAAGAAUUUCGGUAUGCGAUGGGGAUGCGUUCCA